rnacentral:rRNA from 1 species
UUGGAGGGCAAGUCUGGUGCCAGCAGCCGCGGUAAUUCCAGCUCCAAUAGCGUAUAUUAAAGUUGUUGCAGUUAAAAAGCUCGUAGUUGAACCUCGGGAUCAAUGGAUCGGUCAUGCCAAUGGUAUGUACUGGUCAUAUUGGUUCUCACCUUCUAAGGAACCAUGAUGUCAUUCAUUUGAUGUUGUGGGGAAUUAGGACUGUUACCUUGAAAAAAUUAGAGUGUUUAAAGCAGGCUAACGCUUGAAUACAUUAGCAUGGAAUAAUGAAAUAGGACAUCGCAUUCUAUUUCGUUGGUUUCUAGGAUCACCGUAAUGAUUAAUAGGGAUAGUUGGGGGCAUUAGUAUUCAAUUGUCAGAGGUGAAAUUCUUGGAUUUAUUGAAGACUAACUACUGCGAAAGCAUUUGCCAAGGAUGUUUUCAUUAAUCAAGAACGAAAGUUAGGGGAUCGAAGACGAUCAGAUACCGUCGUAGUCUUAACCAUAAACUAUGCCGACUAGGGAUCGGACGAAGUUAAUUUUAUAAUGACGCGUUCGGCGCCUUACGGGAAAC